AUUUAUUUAGUUGUCCGUGUUUCCUCCAUUGAUUUAAAAAUCUAACCUUUAUCAUGUAUUAAGUAUAAUUUUUGUGUAUUUUUCUUUUCCAGUAACCUCUGUAUUCUAUUGAUUUUUCAUAUCUAGGAACAUUUCCAAGUUUUUUUGUCAGUAAAUUUAAAAAGUUUUAAAAAUAAUAUGUCCUGUGUAAAUCUUAAUAAGGAUGUUCAUAAUUAUUAGUCACUAGCUUUGUGAAAUUCCUAAAUUUUAGAUGGUAUUGCAUGAAAUAAAAAAUAAUUAUUUUAUCAACUUUGUUAAUACAUGAGUUAUGUUUUUAUAAUAAUUCUGUAGCACUGGAGUAUAAAUGUAUUCUAAUGACUUAUAAAAUCUGUAUCUUUUUUGCUAGACUACACUUGCUGCUUUGAAGGAUGAAGUUGUAUCUGUUGAAAAUGAACUCUCAGAAUUGCAAGAAGUAGAAAAAAAACAGAAAACCCUUAUUGAAAUGUAUAAAACUCAGGUACAAAAGUUGCAAGAAGCAGCUGAAAUAGUAAAAAGCAGGUGUGAAAAUUUGCUACAUAAAAAUAACCAAAUAACAAAAACCAAAAAUAAAAAUGUAGAGAAGAUGAGAGGCCAGAUGGAGUCUCAUCUG
rnacentral:sRNA from 1 species